rnacentral:rRNA from 1 species
AGAGUUUGAUCCUGGCUCAGAAUCAACGCCGGCGGCGUGCCUCAGACAUGCAAGUCGAACGAUUAAGACUCCCUUCGGGGAGUGUAUAAAGUGGCGCACGGGUGAGUAACACGUAAGUAAUCUACCUUCGAGUGGGGAAUAACCCGGGGAAACCCGAGCUAAUACCGCAUAACGCAGCGGCACCUAAUGGUGACAGUUGUUAAAGGAGUAAUUCGCUUGAAGAGGAGCUUGCGGCAGAUUAGCUAGUUGGUAAGGUAAUGGCUUACCAAGGCUUCGAUCUGUAUCCGGUCUAAGAGGACGGUCGGACACACUGACACUGAAUAACGGGUCAGACUCCUACGGGAGGCAGCAGUCGGGAAUUUUGGGCAAUGGGCGAAAGCCUGACCCAGCAACGCCGCGUGAAGGAUGAAGUAUUUCGGUAUGUAAACUUCGAAAGAAUGGGAAGAACUCAAUGACGGUACCAUUUAUAAGCUCCGGCUAACUACGUGCCAGCAGCCGCGGUAAU